UUCCUUUUUUUGGGUUCAUAAGCACGGUGCUUGAAUGCUGACACCAUUGAGUGGCAUGUGUCUCCCACAACACCUUGUUAUCACAUUGUAACGAUACCAGUCUGAUG